CCCAGUACUCCAAGAUAUCCAUAGCCCAAGCAGUGUUACAAUAGAAAACCAAUUCCUUCUUAGUCAUUGCAUCAUAGUUGUACAUGGAUCACUCUGCUAAAA